rnacentral:lncRNA from 1 species
GCCUUGGCAGCUACUCCCUGACCUCCAUCAGUACUUGGGUUUUUGAAGCAUUGAGAGGGGCGUAGCUGUGGAAUCUUCCUGGGGGAGAGCUUCAUUGAACUCUGCGGUUCGGGUUUCUCUACCUACGAGCCUGGGGAGGAGUCUGGACACGCUUGUGUCCAGGGAGAGUUCGAGAACGUGGUCAAGCUUCACGCAGCCCC